UACGUAGGGGGCGAGCGUUGUCCGGAAUGAUUGGGCGUAAAGGGCGCGUAGGCGGCCAUGCAAGUCUGGAGUGGAAGUCCAUUUUUCAAGGGUGGAAUUGCUUUGGAAACUGUGUGGCUGGAGUGCAGGAGAGGUUAUCGGAAUUCCCGGUGUAGCGGUGAAAUGCGUAGAGAUCGCGAGGAACAUCAGUGGCGAAGGCGGCUUCCUGGUCUGUAACUGACACUGAGGCGCGAAAGCGUGGGGAGCAAACAGGAUUAGAUACCCCCGUA
rnacentral:rRNA from 1 species